AGGACGAACGCUGGCGGCGUGCUUAACACAUGCAAGUCGAACGGAAAGGCCCUGCUUUUGUGGGGUGCUCGAGUGGCGAACGGGUGAGUAACACGUGAGUAACCUGCCCUUAACUUUGGGAUAACUUCAGGAAACUGGGGCUAAUACCGGAUAGGAGCUCCUGCUGCAUGGUGGGGGUUGGAAAGUUUCGGCGGUUGGGGGAUGGACUCGCGGCUUAUCAGCUUGUUGGUGGGGUAGUGGCUUACCAAGGCUUUGACGGGUAGCCGGCCUGAGAGGGUGACCGGCCACGAUUGGGACUGAGAUACGGCCCAGACUCCUACGGGAGGCAGCAGUGGGGAAUAGUUGCACAAUGGGCGGAAGCCUGAUGCAGCAACGCCGCGUGCGGGAUGACGGCCUUCGGGUGUAACCGCUUUCGCCUGUGACGAAGCGUGAGUGACGGUAAUAGGGUAAAGAAGCACCGGACUAACUACGUGCCAGCAGCCGAC
rnacentral:rRNA from 1 species